UCGAGAGUGGGCGGCAGUGUAUUGUUUUGUCUGUGACGGUGGUCUGCGAGAUACAUAAUUUGACAUCUGCAACUAAGAAAUAGUUAUAUAAAUUAUCGCCAAUUAUUUAUAUUGUCCAUAGAUUGUCAGGAAAUGUAGAACAAGAGGAGAAGAGAAGUAGCCAAUCGACGGGGAGGAUCCCCUCGCCGGGGCGCUGCUGUCGCCGCCGACUAUUUUUAGCUGUUGGCCGGUGGGAAGGUUAUAAUCAUGGCAGCUUCAACGCCAGAGCUAAUUUUAGCCUGGCUCAGAGCACAGUGGAGAGCAAUGGCUGAGCAGCUGGACGAUUUUAUUUGCAGCUUUGACCCUCCAGUUCCUGAGGGAAUGGAUGCCUUGACUGUUGUUGUGCUUGGUUGGGUAGUGUUCUGUGCUGUGCUUGCACUUUUAGUGCAUUUUUUCAAGAAUUAUAAAAGUGUUCAAAGUGCUGGUGCGGAAUCAGUGUCCUUGCAAGGAGGAAGUGAUUCUGAACUAAGAAAGAAUGUGUUGUUGCCUAACAAUGCCAGUGGAAAGGCAACAAGUGCUCCCAUUGUGCCAAAUUCUGGAAAAAGUGGUGGACUUGACUCAGUGGAUUCCAGCUUCAUAUCAAGAGUACAAUCAUCUAAGCCAUUCAAGGAGGCAGUUGCUAAUAGAAGGCGAUCACCUUCCCCAACAAGAGCGGUCAAGAUCCCGUACGUGUCAGGUGCGCCUGUGGCAAACGGUGAAAUUGAUGAUGAGGUGUUGUGGGUGAAUAAUGUGAUCAACUGGAUAUAUGGAAGAGCAGAAGUUAGGAACAGCAUCUCACAGGCAUGGCUUGCAGCACUCAACAGUCAUGCUAUGAAAAUGUCAAAAGAGGCGGGGAUCAAUCUGCACUUCGUCAACAUUCGGCCGGAGACGGAGCGGGCCGAGUUCUCAAACGUGGUGGUGGAGCACGGCCCUGACGAUACCAUGACGAUCACGGCGGAUGCCUCGGCAUGUCCGCUGCUCACCACCCGCGUCACCUACGAGCAGGACGGCCGCACACGCUCGGCCACCUACGCCACCACCGUGCAGAAGCUGCGCGGACGAAUCAACGUGGCCGCCCUGACCCACCAGGCCAUGGCCAUUGGCAAGUUCGACGGAUGGCCAGAGGUCCAACUCCUCCUCGAGCCGACCAGUGACAGCGGCCGGAGCUCAGCCCUCGAGGAGCAGAUCCGACAGGAGGGCGCCAGGGAGGUGGUCACCGGAUGUCUGAGGGACGCCGUCGUCGAUCUCAACUUUGGCCAGGAGGCCGACUUUCCGCCGUUCGUCCGCACCGAAGAGCCUGAACGAGUCCGCAGUCUGUCCCGGGACCGACCUGAAGCCAAUGGCGGCGAGCGGAUGACGCGGCGACUUCUGGUCAAGGUUGUGAAAGCGGCCGGACUCGGUGCCAGCAAAGGCUGCAAGGAACCGUACUGCGAAAUUGAAAUGGACGAGCCGCCGCAAAAGUUCCAGACCGAGACGCGACUGGACACCGACCAUCCGUUCUGGGAUGAGGCAUUCGUGUUCGACCUAUCUCCCAACACAAGUGAGCUGCUGUUCGAGGUGUUCGACAAGCAGAAGGCGCGCGACACCAACUUCCUCGGCCUGGGCAUAGUGGGCAUCGAGGAGCUGCUGGUGAAUCCCAGUCAGCGCCAGAUCAUACCGCUGCUCUCCAGGCCCUACGAGCAGGACCCCGUCUCCGGAUCGCUCACCGUCGAGUUUCUGUUUGUGGACGAGCACGGCGCACCGGUGGAGGAGGGGGGACUGCCACACCGCGUCACCCACACCUCGGAGCGGCUCCUGCACUCGGGAGAGAUUCUGCAGACGACGCGUACCACCUACACGCGACCCGAGGACGUGGAUGACGGCAACUUUGUGAAGAGCAUGGCGCUGAAGGACAUGGACCUGAAGGCGCGGCCCAAUGCCAAAAAGAGCACCCUCAUCAUCCACAGCUCCAAAAAGGAGCCGAUUGCCCUGCCAACUGUGAAGCAGGAUAACCUGGACGACUCGAUACAGCUGUCCGACCCCGGCUCCGAGGGACAGGACGCGGCCCGCGGGGGCGCGCAGUCGGCAUCAGGUGACGAGGGCGCGCGCGGCCGGCGGCGCUCCAAGAAACGCUCCCUGUUCGGCACGCUACGCCGCCGGCUGGGCGGCAGCAAGUCUCGCAGUCAGUCCACCGAGCCUGGCGCGAGGCAGGACUGGGAGGACGAGCCGGGCCGCAGCGCCAGCCUGGACAGAGGCCACUACCUGACCGUGCCCGUGCCCGGCGGCGGUGGCGGCACCGGUCCCCCAGUCGCAACGGCCGCAGCCGGAGACCGCCGGUCGCACCCCUGUCUCAGCGGCCGGCCGGGCGGACCGGACGACUCCAGCCUCAGUGAUAUGUCGGGCAUCAGUAACGCCUCGAACCGAACCUACGUCAACGACCAGUCCUCGCUGGUGCUGGAGACGACCGAAAACGGCGUGCUCAAGCAUUAUCUGGUUCCGAACAACCUGGCCAAGCGGGGCAAGUUGCGGAAGAAGGGCACCAAGCUGCACGUCUUCAACGAGCACGUGUUUGUCGCGCGUCACCUGCCGAGCGCGCUCUGCUCCGUCUGUGAGAAGUCCCUGCCGCGCUGGCUCGGAAAGCAGGCCUACGAGUGCCGCAACUGCCAGGCCAAGGUGCACAAACAGUGCCAUGUACGGGUGGAGACCAUAUGCCCCGAGAGUACCGUACAUACGAUGGAGCUUGAAUACCUGCAAACCAUGGAAGACAAGCGGCAGAGGAACAUGACCCGAUAGGCACCAUCCACGGCUGGGUGAUCGGCCAAAGCAAUCUGUCUGCCGGUCAGCGGAGGGCCGACUAGACUUCAAUCUUCCCCAUGAUCAUGGUUUUCGCCGACGAUAAUAAUGUGCUACGCUUGUGUUCGUGAGACUUUUAUAUACUUCUAUGAUCUUGAAGGGCCGUAUGAUGCGAGCGCCGUCGCGUGGCUUUGUUUGAACCUCAGCUGAGAUAUUUGGCCGAUAGGUUGUGCGAGGGGCGGGGCGAACGUGCCCCCGGGGUGGGUAGGAGCUCUGCUGCUUGGGCGGUUAUAACCAAAGCGUGUCAAUGUAUGCCCGGGGUAUGUGCCAUUAUCUGGAUGUGGUUCAUGUGUGAGCUUUUAUAGUAUCGGGCCCCGGCCCAGUUAGGCGUUUGGAAAGUAAUUGCUCAUCCGCUUCGUAGUGCAAUAGUUGCCCUUUCUUCCUCAUGCAUAUUUCCCAAUGUCAGCGUCAGAGUCCCUCGCUUUUGCCGAGCCAUGACUUGCUGCAACAUGGCUAAACCAUAGUAAAAUGUCUGAGCCCGACUUACUGAUCGUCCAAAGCACAUGCCUGUUUGAUCUCUGGAAAGCUGAAACGUCAGUUUAAGCUGCGAGCUGCCAAAAAUACCAUGAGUAGUCUGUGAUGAGUGGGCAAUCAUUUAAUCGAGCAUGCAUGCUGGGCUUGUUUAGGCCAUUGACCUGCGUGUAUGCCUUGAACCGAGGGCUGUUUUGCCUGUUGGCAGUGACGCGUGUGGCCGGCAUAGUGAAACAGCUCAGCUGGUUACCCCCUAACCUGAUGUGAUAUAACGUACUUAACGCGCGCUCCUCCCGUAACUUAUCCAGUUCUCUUCCACCGCUGAAUCUCUGUUGGCCAGCGCGCGGCACCGGGAGUGACCUGUGUAGAUUUUCGUAACCUGUGUGACCUUAUCCUGACCUGCAGCGCCGCUUGGCACGCGUUGGUGCACCUCUGCACUCCCUGGUGUGGGGAAUUCACCUCCCCUAGUCUCCCCCCCCCCCCUCCCACCGUCGCUGUCCUCCCCCUGUGAUUGACCUAGUCGCUACAGUGAUCCAUGUCUCUCUAUAUGUGUGUGCGUGGGUGUGAGGGUUUCUGUUUGGGCAAGGGUUCGCACGUGCCAAUCGUCUUCCGCCGCCGCCGUGUUCCGCGCAGCGCCAUCGGAGACAAUUCUUGUAAACAUGACAGUGAAGGGAGCCGCUGUCACGCCCUUCCUCGCAUGGCAAUACCCGGGUUGUGUCCGCGACGAAUUAGGCAUCUACAGCCAGUGUACGUGCUAUUUGGAUAACGUGAGAUCUGACUUUUCUUUGAGGCUUUUGCAACGCGUCCGAUUGCUUCGCUUGGGCUUGUGCAGAUAUGUGAUGGUAUAAGCAGUCACGAGUUAGUCAUCCGCAAUAUUUGAAACUUUGAAGCCAAAGCUUGGUCCGCGGCAGUCUGAAGGUCUGAUAAAGCUAGUGAAGUGGCUGUAGCUGCUUGGGUGGCUGGGGAAGGGGGUGGGUACCGCGCCGGCUGUCGGCGGUGUGGGUGCGUGCCGUGUGCCGGCGGCCCGCCGCGGGAGUGUUCUCUCAGCCGUGGCCCGUCUGUGUAGCCGGCCCCGGCGGCCGCGCGACGCCAUUAACCCCGCUGACCCGCCUCGGUGUGUGUCCCAGUGCUCUGGGUCUGUCUCUGCUGUGGCCUAACUGCUCACGGUACUUGCCGCACCGCCCGACGGUCAUUGGUGCAAUAGACGCGCUAUCCA
rnacentral:misc_RNA from 1 species